UGUUAUUGAAUUCCAAGCCCAGGGU
rnacentral:misc_RNA from 1 species